UACAGAGGUCCCGAGCGUUGUUCGGAUUCAUUGGGCGUAAAGGGUGCGUAGGCGGUCUUCUAAGUUUGAUGUGAAAUCCCGGGGCUCAACCCUGGAAUUGCAUUGAAUACUGGAGGACUAGAGUACCGGAGAGGAAACUGGAAUUUACGGUGUAGCAGUGGAAUGCGUAGAGAUCGUAAGGAAGACCAGUGGCGAAGGCGAGUUUCUGGACGGUAACUGACGCUGAGGCACGAAGGCCAGGGGAGCAAACGGG
rnacentral:rRNA from 1 species